AUGUAGCUUUGUGGUGUCAAGUACUGCUGUCCACUUUAAUCUGAGAUUUUUCAUUUCUGCUCCUACAGAGAUUGCUGACUGGUUUUAGGUGAUUGUUGUUGACUAAGAUGGGUGCACAGAACACGACUGGCACAGCGCAAUAAUUCUAGAAGAUGAGGCCUUGGUUUCGGUGUACAGAUAAGAUGUGCGGGUGGGUUCCUCUGUUCCUGUGGAUGGUUUUGAUACAGCUUACUUCUCUUCAGGCUAAGGUGACUGCUCCGGCUGAGAUUCAAGCACAAGUGAGCCACACUGCCACCCUGGGCUGUAACGUGACAUUAGGCAAUGCUGAAAUCAUCAGUCAGGUUCGAUGGCUGGAUGUCCACAACAAGACUGUGCUUCAUUACCAGCCUGGAAAGCCUGGCAGCCUCACCAGACGUGACGGAGUGGAGCUUGUUGACCAGCGAAUGACCACCAGUGUUAUAGUCAUUCAGAGGACCAAGCCAGAGAACGAGGGCUGCUACACAUGUGUGUUUGAUGUGUACCCGUCUGGGCAGCAGCAGGGAAAGACUUGUCUCUUAUUGGUUGCACAGGUGGAGUCGGUGGGCAACAAGACGGCUGUGCGUGGAAACCAAGUGACGCUUUGGUGCACAUACCCGCUCGUCAACAGGGUCUAUCAGGUCCUGUGGAAGAAAACAGCGGAGCAGGGUGACACCACUGCGGUGGCCUCCUACACCAGGCAAGGGAAGCUUAUCGUUGAGUCACAGUAUCAAGAACGAGUGAAGCUAAGCCAGACGUUGGGACACAGCCAGUUAAGCGUAGACCCAGUCCAUAUGGAGGACGAGGGGCGUUACACCUGCGAGUAUCACACAUACCCAGACGGCACCAAGAGUGUAACAGCAUGUCUGGAGGUCUAUGUCCUGCCCAGUCCUGAGGUGAGCUAUGUCACCAUCUAUGAAGAUGUAAUCCAGGCCAACUGCAGUGCUGUUUCACGUCCUCCUGCUACACUCGUCUGGAACGUGAAGAGUUAUAACCACACUGAGACCUUGACUUUUGAGCUAAACGAUGGGACCACAAUGGUGGUCAGCACCAUACUGCUACAGGCCAAACUGCUGGAUGAAGAAACAGUGACAUGUACUGCACACCACCAGGGCCUGACAAAGAACAUCUCAGUAGCAUUGAACAAGACUGGAAAUACCCACAUCAUCCUUCUUUCAGUGGGCUGUGCUGUGCUUCUACUGCUCAUAUGCCUGUGCAUCUGUAUGAGGAGACGCUAACUAUGUCCUCUGAGAUGGAAUCACAUGUGAUCUCCAAAUCAGUUGGGCAGCUGCAGCUCAGAGAUUAAGGUCAGUUCUGCUUGUUUGCUGAACAAAAGCUGUCUACUGUGAUUAUUCUCAACUACUGAAAAUGUACUUUAAUUUAAACGCUUCUACAAAGUCUUUAUGCAUUUGUGUACCAGGUAAAUUUUAUUAACCAUAACACAAACAAGUAACACAAUUACAUGAGCCCACUACUGCUGGGAUCCAGGGUUUGAAUUCCCACCUGUGGUAUCGGCCAGUUGGGCAUCUACAGACAAAGAGGAUUGUACUAUGUCUGAGAAAGAAAGGAUGGUCAAGGCCCCACAAUGGAUUGGUCCCUUGUUUGGGGAGUGUCAUUGCAUUCUGACGACUUAUCGCAACCUUGACUUGGAUAAAGCCAUGGUAAAAUAGGAAAAUGAAACGAAAUCUUUAGCAUCAACUCUCAGUUUUCUGUUCUCUUCUCAGAUAUUUAACAUGAGUGAUAAGACUCAAGCCUAGGUAAUGCAUUUCUAAACAACACAUAAGCUCUUUAAAAAUUCUAAUAAACUAAAUGCUUCACUUUAAGAUAUUGUUUAAUUCUGAGUUCUUUCUGUGAUAAUAAAUAAAAGCUAAAUGUA